UACGUAGGGUGCAAGCGUUGUCCGGAAUUAUUGGGCGUAAAGAGCUCGUAGGCGGUCUGUCGCGUCUGCUGUGAAAACUCAGGGCUUAACCCUGAGCUUGCAGUGGGUACGGGCAGACUAGAGUGCGGUAGGGGAGACUGGAAUUCCUGGUGUAGCGGUGGAAUGCGCAGAUAUCAGGAGGAACACCAAUAGCGAAGGCAGCUCGCUGGGACGUUACUGACACUAAGGCGCGAAAGCGUGGGGAGCGAACAGG
rnacentral:rRNA from 1 species